rnacentral:sRNA from 1 species
GAAAGCCUUGAGUUCCCCAGCCGAGCUCCAGGCAGCAAUUGAUGGCAACCGCAGGGAGGGCCGGCGGCCCAGCUACAGCUCCUCCCUCUUUGGCUACUCACCUGCUGCGGCUACUGCUGCUGCCGGGGCCCCUGCCCUUCUCUCCCCACCCAAGAUCCGCUUUCCCAUCCUUGGGCUUGGCUCCAGCAGUGGCACCAAUACCAGUAGCCCUCGGAUAUCCCCAGCAACCACUCUCAGGAAAGGUCAGCAGGGCUCCUGGGGGAGAAGGAAGAAAGGGAGGAAGGGAUGCCAGUUUCCCUGUGUUCAAGACUGGGGUUUUGGGGCAAGAGGGUCAAUUGUGGAUUGGUCCAGCUCCAGUUCCUUUGCAGGUGAUGGAGCCCCAGUGACAACAGUGCCUGUGCCAAAUCGUCUGGCUGUGCCCGUGACCUUGGCAAGCCAGCAGGCUGGUACUCGGACCGCCGCACUGGAGCAGCUGCGGGAGCGGCUGGAGUCAGGGGAGCCUGCUGAGAAGAAGGCGUCGAGGCUGUCUGAGGAGGAGCAGCGCCUGGUGCAGCAGGCCUUCCAGCGCAACUUUUUCAGCAUGGCACGGCAGCUCCCCAUGAAGAUCAGGAUCAACGGCAGGGAAGACAGAGCAGAGGCCUCGGCUGCAGCACUGAACCUGACCACGAGUAGCAUUGGGAGCAUUAA